UCUAGGUCUUAGUCAUUGGUGAAGAAAACCACUUGCCUUACAUGAGGCCACCACUAUCGCGUAAGAAUUGUGGUUCAGUGACGAUCCCGAAGUGUCAAACAAACUGAAGUUUAAGCAGUGGAACGGAAAAAAGUGAAGUUUGUUCUUCGAUCAGGAUGAAUUCUACUGCAGUCCAGUGGAAUUAGUUGCCAAAGAACAUGGUGGUGUUUCAGUUGUGCGAGGACAUCAUGUAGUUAAACUGGACAUUGCUGGUCGCAAAGCUGAGUUAGAUGACGGCCUUACCAUCACCUACGACAAGUGCCUUAUUGCCACAGGUGGCAAACCCUAACAUCCAGCAGGAAUAAAGAUGUUUUGGAAGCAGUUGAAAGGCCCGCAAAGUAAAACAACAGAGUUAUUCGACUUUUUCCAUCAGCAACAACAGCAGCCUGAGCAACGGCCGCAUAGCAGUG